GUGGGGAAUCUUCCGCAAUGGACGAAAGUCUGACGGAGCAACGCCGCGUGAGUGAUGAAGGUCUUCGGAUUGUAAAGCUCUGUUAAUCGGGACGAAAGAGCCUAGUGUGAAUAAUGCUAGGAAGUGACGGUACCGGAAUAGAAAGCCACGGCUAACUACGUGCCAGCAGCCGCGGUAAUACGUAGGUGGCAAGCGUUGUCCGGAAUUAUUGGGCGUAAAGCGCGCGCAGGCGGAUCUGCCAGUCUGUCUUAAAAGUUCGGGGCUUAACCCCGUGAUGGGAUGGAAACUACAGAUCUAGAGUAUCGGAGAGGAAAGUGGAAUUCCUAGUGUAGCGGUGAAAUGCGUAGAUAUUAGGAAGAACACCAGUGGCGAAGGCGACUUUCUGGACGAAAACUGACGCUGAGGCGCGAAAGCCAGGGGAGCGAACGGGAUUAGAUACCCGGGUAGGCC
rnacentral:rRNA from 1 species